UAUAUCUCUCCCAACAGAAAGAAGCCCUCCCAAAGAAAGAAAGAUGAGGUAAUCUACCUAAUAAGACCCCCCUGCCUUUCCAAGGUGACUUUGC